rnacentral:rRNA from 1 species
GACGAACGCUGGCGGCGUGCUUAACACAUGCAAGUCGAACGCUGAAGCUCAGCUUUUGUUGGGUGGAUGAGUGGCGAACGGGUGAGUAACACGUGAGUAACCUGCCCCCUUCUUUGGGAUAACGCCCGGAAACGGGUGCUAAUACUGGAUAUUCACUGGUCUUCGCAUGGGGGUUGGUGGAAAGGGUUUUUCUGGUGGGGGAUGGGCUCGCGGCCUAUCAGCUUGUUGGUGGGGUGAUGGCCUACCAAGGCUUUGACGGGUAGCCGGCCUGAGAGGGUGACCGGUCACAUUGGGACUGAGGUACGGCCCAGACUCCUACGGGAGGCAGCAGUGGGGAAUAUUGCACAAUGGGCGCAAGCCUGAUGCAGCGACGCCGCGUGAGGGAUGGGGGCCUCCGGGUUGUGAACCUCUUUCGCUCAUGGUCAAGCCGCAACAAUGGUUGUGGUGAGGGUAGUGGGUAAAGAAGCGCCGGCUAACUACGUG